CCGCGGCCGGACCGGACGCGGACCUGCCGGUGCUCGGGCUGCCGGGGUCGCGGCUCUUGGCCGCGGCCGCGGAC
rnacentral:tRNA from 1 species